AUCAUGGCUCAGAUUGAACGCUGGCGGCAGGCCUAACACAUGCAAGUCGAGCGGAUGAAGGGAGCUUGCUCCUGGAUUCAGCGGCGGACGGGUGAGUAAUGCCUAGGAAUCUGCCUGGUAGUGGGGGAUAACGUCCGGAAACGGGCGCUAAUACCGCAUACGUCCUGAGGGAGAAAGUGGGGGAUCUUCGGACCUCACGCUAUCAGAUGAGCCUAGGUCGGAUUAGCUAGUUGGUGGGGUAAAGGCCUACCAAGGCGACGAUCCGUAACUGGUCUGAGAGGAUGAUCAGUCACACUGGAACUGAGACACGGUCCAGACUCCUACGGGAGGCAGCAGUGGGGAAUAUUGGACAAUGGGCGAAAGCCUGAUCCAGCCAUGCCGCGUGUGUGAAGAAGGUCUUCGGAUUGUAAAGCACUUUAAGUUGGGAGGAAGGGCAGUAAGUUAAUACCUUGCUGUUUUGACGUACCAACAGAAUAAGCACCGG
rnacentral:rRNA from 1 species